UUUUGUUGAUUAUCUUGCUUUAUUUAGUUGCUUAUUUUUAUUUAUUGUUGAAAAAUCAUUUUGUUGUUGUAAUUUUUUGAUUUGAUUAUGUUUGCUAUAGAUUAUUUGUACUGUGGGGGUUCGAUUUUUAUUAUUUUUUUAAAAGCUGAUUUUUUUUGUCGUACCUUGUGUAUCAGGGUUCAUUGAAUUUUAUUAUUUAUUUUUAUUUCCCGAUUUUAAGGGAGUUAAUGGAUUAUAUUAGUUACUGUUUCAUAAGUAUUAAUAAUAUUCUAUUGGUAGUGAGAUGUUAUUCGUCCUUAGUGGUUUCUGGUUUUUCAAGAAAUGAAUUUAAUUCAUGUGCUUUAUUUAAUGUCUAUUGUUUCUUUAGAUUUUUUUAUUUGGUGCUAAGAUUAAGGGGGAUUAGCUCCUUGUUUUAUGUUUUAUAAUUUUUGUUUUAAUUUAGUUUUGUGGAUUUUAUAGUGAUUUUCAAUUUGAUUAUGUUAAAGUUUUAUUUAUUUAUUUGUUUAUUUAUUUUUAAGAUUAAUUUGUGUGUUUUGUUGGGGUGAUGGGAGGAUAGUAAUUAUUAUGUAAUUAGUAAAUCUCUUGUGUUGUUGUUUAUGAUUUGGGUGUUAAAUUCUUUUGAGGAAUUAGGCAAAAGUUUUCAUGUCCGCCUGUUUAACAAAAACAUCUUUUCUCGUUAGUUUUUGAAGUAUGGCCUGCCCACUGACGUUUAUAAUUAGUUGAAGGGCCGCGGUAUUUUGACCGUGCAAAGGUAGCAUAAUCAUUAGUUCUUUAAUUGUGAUCUGGUAUGAAUGGCUUGACGAGGCAUGGGCUGUCUUAAGUGGUGUGAAUAAUUUAUUGAAUUUGGUUUUUGAGUUAAAAUUCUUAAAUGUUUUUAUGGGACGAGAAGACCCUAUAGAGUUUGACAUUUAAUUUAUUCUUUUUUAGUUGUUUGUUGUUUAAGUUGAUUAAUUUGUGUGUUUUGUUGGGGUGAUGGGAGGAAUUUUCUUAACUCCUCUUUAUUUUGGUAUACUUAUUUGUAUAUAUUUUGAUCCUUUAUUUUGAUUAUAAGAUUAAAUUACCUUAGGGAUAACAGCGUUAUCUUCCUUGAGAGUUCUUAUUGGCGGGAAGGUUUGCGACCUCGAUGUUGGAUUAAGAUGAAUUUCCGGUGCAGGAGCUGGAGUGUGAUUGGGUCUGUUCGACCUUUAAAAUCUUACAUGAUCUGAGUUCAGACCGGCGUGAGCCAGGUUGGUUUCUAUCUAUAAUAAUGUUUAUACCUUAGUACGAGAGGACCGGGUAUUUGGAAUAAUUUUAUUUAUGUUGGUUUAUCAUUAA
rnacentral:rRNA from 1 species